CUGGAUAUGAUGCAGAUCUUGUUACCUGACUUUAGCUGAUGGUUUACAAUAUUCGUACUGUCUGAUCCAG